UGGCCUGUGAUGAAAUCUAUUUAAAAAGAACACCAUCUUUCGGGACUGAAUGGCCCAUAGGCCUUGCUGUUAAUUCUGCAAUUCUGAGGCCA